AUGAUGCUUUUCCUUUUGUUUUCCUCCCCUCUCUUCACAUUCACGCCAUGGUCCCAUUUCCCACCUUUCCCUUCUCCACACACCCACACUACACUCUCCCUUCGACACCUACCCCCCCACACACUAACACACGAGUGCACUGUCCUUUCCCAUUUCCCCUCCCUUCCCUCCUCAGCCACGCUACCCUGUUCUAUCCCUUCCUCCCUUCCCCUUUUUUUACUCUUCCAUCCUUCUCACACACUGUCCAGCCUUACCCUUCCUUUAGACAGUCACACACAGCACCAUCCCUUGCCUCUCUUCUCAUCUCCACACACAUUAUCCCCUCUACCUUCCUCUUUUCCUACACACACACUGACACUGUACCCUCACUCAUCUUCCCUGAUCAUUUCUCCACAGCCAUCUAUACAUACACACAUGAUCACUUCCUUUUCUUUUCCCUUCUGUUCUCUAAAUACACACAAUGCUACAUUGUCUUUUCCCAGUUUCCCAUCUCCCUGUUCCCACAUACACAGGACACUACACCAGUCCUUCUCCGCUACACUGUUUCUGCCCUCUUGUGUGUUACCUCCUUUUCUCCUACAUGCACACACGCUCUACUCUUGUUUUCCUUCCCUUUUCCACAUAGCACACACACACAACACUACUAGACUUUCCAGUUUUUUCCUUCCAUUCUUUACUCACCUGAACUACAGUAUCCCUUCCUCUCCACCUCUGCAAACCGUUUAUUCCAUUCUCUCCCCUUUCCUUCUAUAUACACAUGCACAUACACCACUACACUAUCCCUUCCCAUUGUGCCCUUUGUUCCCUUUUCUAAAACACAUACACUACCCUAUCCAUUCUCUUCCCUACAUACAACUUCUAUCCUAUCUCCUUCCUUCUCUAAACAUACCCACUACCCUAUCCCUACUCAUCCCUUCUCCACAAUCUUCUCACUUCUCUUCCCUUUUCCUUAGCCACAAACACAUAAAAUUCUUUUCCCUUCCUUCUCUGCACAUUCUACACUAUCCUUUCUCCAAACAUACACACUACUGUAUUUAUACACUUUCCCCCCUUUUCUAUGCAUACAGACGGGCACACAAACGACACUACUCUAUCCUUCCCUUCUGUCUCUGCAUCUACACUCCACUGUCCGUGUUGUGCCCAAGAUUACGUAUCUGA
rnacentral:lncRNA from 1 species